rnacentral:misc_RNA from 1 species
GAUGAAGAACGUAGCGAAAUGCGAUACUUGGUGUGAAUUGCAGAAUCCCGUGAACCAUCGAGUUUUUGAACGCAAGUUGCGCCCGAAGCCGUUAGGCCGAGGGCACGCCUGCCUGGGUGUCACACAUCGUUGCCCCAAUGCCAAUCGCCUCACUUUGUAGGUAUUUGCUUGGGGUGAAUGUUGGCCUCCCGUGCGCCUCGCCGCGCGGUUGGCAUAAAUACCAAGUCCUCGACGACGCACGCCACGACAAUCGGUGGUUGCGAAACCUCGGUUGCCCGUCGUGUGCGUUCGUCGCGCAUCGAGGGCUCGAAAAAAUGCUCGGCUCCGGCUCGGCUUUCAACGCGACCCCAGGUCAGGCGGGGUUACCCGCUGAAUUUAAGCAUAUCAAUAAGCGGAGGA